UUACUUAUGGUGCGGUAAUUAA
rnacentral:siRNA from 1 species